CACGUAGGGGGCAAGCGUUGUCCGGAUUUAUUGGGCGUAAAGAGCGUGUAGGCGGUCCGGUAAGUCAGCUGUGAAAGUCAAGGGCUCAACCCUUGAAUGCCGGUUGAUACUGUCGGGCUAGAGUCCGGAAGAGGCGAGUGGAAUUCCCGGUGUAGCGGUGAAAUGCGCAGAUAUCGGGAGGAACACCAAUGGCGAAGGCAGCUCGCUGGGACGGUACUGACGCUGAGACGCGAAAGCGUGGGGAGCAAACGGG
rnacentral:rRNA from 1 species